CUUCCCCUACGUCCAAUCUCACACAGAUACAAAUACCUCCUCACUUCCCUCACGUCCAAUCUCACACAGCUACAAAUACCUCCUCACUUCCCUCACGUCCAAUCUCACACAGCUACAAAUACCUCCUCACUUCCCUCACGUCCAAUCUCACACAGC